UGCAUAAGUAUCACCCAAUUGCAUAUAACCAGCAAAUUUGGCAAGGGCAUGUUCUUGUCCUUCUUCAACCACCGGAAUUUCUAAAGAGUGCUCUAUCAGUGGAAUGGCAUCAUCAUACUGGCCCAGAUUACAGUAUAUCGCUGCAGUUACAUGCAGACACAUGACCACAUCUAAACUAGGUUUUCCAUUGGCACAUUUCUCAAAUGACUUCGCUGCUCGAUGAGCCAAUUCAAGAGCUUUAUGGGAAUUAUCCCCAGAAGCUAUCAAAUCUCUUGCUUGCUUAAGCAGGAAGGGGCCAAGGUCAGGAUUGUCUAAACCUGAAUCAGAUGAGUCCUCAGUUCCAUUCUUCAAUUUUGAUCCUGAAGCAGGCGAACUCUUCUGCCUACUCCUUGAGGUACCUCCCACAACUACCUUCUUCGUGUUAUUUCCAUUUUUCUUAUCAAGGGAAGCUCUCCUACCCUUAGAAUUUGAUUUUGCUGAAGUUUCUGAUUCCAACUCCAAUUGAGA
rnacentral:misc_RNA from 1 species